AGAGUUUGAUCCUGGCUCAGAUUGAACGCUGGCGGCAGGCUUAACACAUGCAAGUCGAGCGGAAACGGCAUAGGCAAUCCCUUCGGGGUGCGCUUGUGGACGCCGAGCGGCGGACGGGUGAGUAAUGCCUGGGAAUCUGCCUGGUAGUGGGGGAUAACUUGCCGAAAGGUAAGCUAAUACCGCGUACGCCCUACGGGGGAAAGCAGGGGAUCUUCGGACCUUGCGCUAUCAGAUGAGCCCAGGCCGGAUUAGCUAGUUGGUAGGGUAAAAGCCUACCAAGGCGACGAUCCGUAGCUGGUCUGAGAGGAUGAUCAGCCACACCGGGACUGAGACACGGCCCGGACUCCUACGGGAGGCAGCAGUGGGGAAUAUUGGACAAUGGGGGGAACCCUGAUCCAGCCAUGCCGCGUGUGUGAAGAAGGUCUUCGGAUUGUAAAGCACUUUAAGUUGGGAGGAAGAGCUCCGGGCUAAUACCCUGCGAGUUUUGACGUUACCAACAGAAUAAGCACCGGCUAACUUCGUGCCAGCAGCCGCGGUAAUACGAAGGGUGCGAGCGUUAAUCGGAAUUACUGGGCGUAAAGCGCGCGUAGGUGGUUUGUUAAGUUGGAAGUGAAAGCCCCGGGCUCAACCUGGGAAUUGCUUUCAAAACUGACGGGCUAGAGUACGGUAGAGGGUAGUGGAAUUUCCUGUGUAGCGGUGAAAUGCGUAGAUAUAGGAAGGAACAUCAGUGGCGAAGGCGACUGCCUGGACUGAUACUGACACUGAGGUGCGAAAGCGUGGGGAGCAAACAAGAUUAGAUACCCUGGUAGUCCACGCCGUAAACGACGUCAAAAGAGUUGUUGGGGGUCUUGUACCUUUAGUAACGCAGCUAACGCAUUAAGUUGGCCGCCUGGGGGGUGCGGCCGGCAAGGUUAAAACUCAAAUGAAUUGACGGGGGCCCGCACAAGCGGUGGAGCAUGUGGUUUAAUUCGAAGCAACGCGAAGAACCUUCCCUGGCCUUGACAUGUAGCGAACUUUC
rnacentral:rRNA from 1 species